rnacentral:misc_RNA from 1 species
ACAAUUAUAGUGUUGAUAGUAGUUUUGUUAACACAAGCAUGAAUUAAUUAUAUUUCGAAGUGGAGAAAUAAGUAAGGAAUUAACUUUGAAAAGGUUAUAAAAUGUGCGCGAGUCAUAUUUCAAAUCUAGCACGAUUGGCCGUCGUAAUUUGUAAACACAUUUAGUUUUACUUUUUGUUAUUCUAAACUGCUUCAGUCAUUCAAAUAAAAGUUAUGAAUUUCCAUUACACUGCAAUAUCGUAUUAAAUGUGGAUUAUAAGCGAAAAAUGCUAAUUUAGAUAAAGAGUUCAGCGUUUCUAAUAAGACUUUGCGAAAUUGAUACUUCUGCUGACAGAACGAAUUUGUUUACCUACCUUCUUUGAUUUUAUUGAAGUUUCGAACGUCGAGUAACAAAUGAACGACCGUCUCGAAAACGUGACUUUUUAUUUUCAUUUCUGCGUAAAAUGUCGAAGAAGCCUUACGUUGUCCAGGAGGACAGCCCAAAUCUCGUGAUUGUGCCUACUGAUAACAUCGAAACGUUUUACGAACCGUCGCCUAAGAAAGUGAAAGAAAGUGAUACUGUUUUGCCUACUCCUACACCAGGAAUCAUUUACUCCAAUGUUUUUGCAAGAAAAAGUGGUGCAAAACUGAAUUUCAGUGGUAGAAAUAAUGAUGUCCUGAUAGAUGUGCGUAAAGUUCAGAGGUCGCCGACAAGUUGGGCAGCUAAUUAUCUUCAAAGUAUUGGUGGGACUUCAACAAAGUUUGACAGAAUUUACGGCCUGGCGUCAAAACCAACGUCCCUCGUCACAAAUACGGCAGCCAAACCAGAAAACAGAGAAACUACUUUACCAUACACUUUUAAUCAACAACAAACUAAUACAGUAUUAGCUGAUCAAAAAAUGGAGAAAAAAACUACUCAACCAAAGAUUAACAUCAAUCUUAUAAAACCUAAAACAGUACCUCAAGCCACCAUGACCAAAGAAAUGACGCCUAAUAGCAACACAAACAAUAUUACACGCCCAACCGAUGUAAGAAAAGAACCUUCUUUGCCUAAAAACUACAAGAUUCCUAUGCAAUCAAAAAACAAACAGUCAGUACACCCAAUAGAAGAAUCUGCUAGCACAAAUAAUACUAAUAACAUUUGUAUACAAAACAGCGUCACACUGAAAAAACAGACUUUGGUGUCGUCAUCAAAAAAUAAUAACGAUAUCGUUAAAAUAAACCACAACAAAACUGCGGCCCUUCAUACGCUAACAUAUAAAGAAACUACUGAUAAAAAUAAGAUUAAAGAAACAAUUCAAUUAAAACAUGAUUUAAGUAAUAUCCAGGAUAAAUAUAACCACGCCAAAACUCAGGCGAAGGUGUAUAAGAAUUCCGAACAACUUAAAACUUGUAGUGAAACAAAACUGCUCAAGAAGAAAGUUACGGUUCCACACAUUGACAAACAAUACAUAACAAAAUGUGGUGAACGCGUGCCAUCUAAAUAUAAAGAAUGUAAUGAAACUCAAACGACAAAUAACAAAGAAAACGAUCAACCACAACAUGACAAGGUAAUUAAACAGCGCAAACCAAUUAAGGAAACAACUUUGGCAAGGGAUCAAAACGACCCUUCGCCGCCCAAAAAUACAAAAAGAAAUAUAAGUCAUAAAACAAACGAAGAUAUUAUUGCUCAUAUAAAAACUCUUAAAGAGAUUUAUAAAUUAAAGAAUAAAAAAGAUCCAACUUUUUCAACUAAAAUUAAAACGAAGAAAGAGCAUGUUUCAGAUUCUUCUAAAGCCAGUAAACUAGAAAAACGUGGUCAAUCGAAAGAAAGUCGAACGAUCGAUAUACAGUCAAAAAGACCUAAGGAUAAGGCAGUAGCCAAUAAAGACGCUCAUUUGCAGCGACCUCGUUUAACAAAGGAAGAAAUUAUUGAAAUAUUAAAAAAGAAACGGGCUGCUGCAGAAAAAAAAUCUAGUCAAAGAGAACAUUCGAGCAGUAAGACUAAAAAAAUUAAACUAUCUUCGCCUGAUACUGAUAACACAGCAAAAAAAAGGUCUAAAACCGCCCAUGAAGGUAGAUUAAGUAAAAGCAUCUCGCCUAUCAAAAGCGUCGUUUCGCGAAUAAAAACAGACCAUCCAUCUCAUAAUUCAGAAAAAAUCUACCAUAAAGGGUCUGGGUCUGAUUACCAUACUAAUUACGAAAAAUCAUCAAGCAAAAAUAGAGAUUAUCAUAGUCAAAAUUCUGAGAAGCAUGCUCAAAGGGGUUCACACGUUGAUUUAAGAGCAAAACUUAAGCGUAAAUAUCCUAAAACCGACUAUCGGAAAGAAGACUAUAACUGGAACCAUAUUCACAAGAAAAAUAAAUUUGCCACAGUGCCUAACGGUGAGCGAUUUGUGCCAGAAGAAAAUUUGAUUAUAUCAUUUAAUGCAGAAGAUGACAAUGAAGAAAAACCCACAAUGAAGAAAUCACCGGUAAAGAAAUUGGCGCGUAAGCAACCAUCACCUAAAGAUAAAAAACGUAAAAAAAUAAAGCUAGAAAUCAACAUUGUAUUUGGUCAUGGGGAUACAACUGACGAAGAAUCUACCAAAGGCGAGGUUGACACAAGCGCCGAAACAAUGGAAAAUAUGGACCUUAGUUUCCUUGAUGACUUUAACGUAGAUGAAAUUGCAGAAUGUCUAAACGAGUGUAGUAAAGACUGUGCCAAAAAAACGACGGAGGGAAAUACCGCUGUUGAUAUGAACGUACAACACAGCACAUCAGACAAUACUAAGAUAAUAGAGGCUAUAGCUCAUAAAGAGACUUUGAUAUUAAAUACAACGCGUGAAGUUAAUCUUUCUGAAAAUAAAAUGGAAUUGAAUCAAGAACCAGCAUUACAGUCAACAGUCAAUAAUCAUAGGACCUGCUGUGUAGAAAACCUAAACACAAUAAGAUCGAAUAUAAGUACAGAGUUAGAUAACACAAGUACAGAACUAAGCGCCAGAACUGAAACUAUAACUGAUACAUACCAGAAUUGCAAUCCUCAAGCUGAGGACGUAAAAAAAAUUGAGAAUGUUUCUAGCUCUGACACAAAUGUAUCUUUUAAUAAUUAUCAAGAAUCUGCUGCAUAUCUGCCAGAAACAAAUAUUGAUGAUACAGAAAUGAAGGGUAAUAUAGAUUUGGUUAAAAUAUUACAGAAUUCUGGAGUAGUUAAGAACACCCUUGACAAAGGCUUGCAGUUAGUGACUAAAAUGGAGGAUUCAGAAAUCAUAACAGAUGCUAAACUGCCACUUGGAUCUUCUGAAGCACCUACGACAAUGUCUAAUUCAGAAAGUAAUAUUUACUCUGAUCACAGAGACCUCAUAGAUGCUCUUCAAGAUGAUAACAAUUUAGAACUAAACGCGAUAAAAUCUUUUAUUGCUUCUACAAACAAUAAUACCGAUGAAAAUAACAAAAAACAGAAUAAAGUCGAAAUGUCAACUACAGUAAUGAAGUAUUCAAAUACGCAGCACCAAACUCCGAUUACUCAAAUAGAGACAAUGACUGCUGCUGCUGUCCAUAACACAACUGAAAUAUUGACGUGCAUUAAACCAGACCCUGAUGUUAUUUUAAUUGAUGAUUCAGACAGCGAAACAGAAAUUAAUCACAAACAGACAACGAAAGACAAAAACUGCAGACAUAUUGUCUAAGAAGGAAAGUUUGCGAGAUAAAUUAGAUGUUGUAACCAGUUCUGAACCUGCUAGAGAAUGUACAGAAUCGAUAUUGGUAUUAGAUAAAAAUAAAAGAGAUAUAAAACAUGUCAAAGAAAGUCAGUUAAAUGAAUCAACUAAAGUAAUACUUGUUGAACCUACAGGCGACAACUCUGAAUCAGUAUUAGUACUAGACACAGACUAUGGCAUUGAAGAAAGCGUUGAUAACAGUGAGUUAGAUGAAAAUAAUGAUGGCGCUAAUACUCAAAAUAUAAUUACGGCUGAACAAAGUAAGCCUAACAAAACAGCAGUGGGAGAUAUUAUUAACGAAACGAAAACAAAUAUUGUUGAAAAUAAUUCCGAAAGUGAAAAAACUAUUAUCCAAGAUAAGGUAACAAAUGAGAUACAACCUGGAACAACAAAUACAGAUAUACAUACAUUCAAAGAUAAAAAAGAUAAUUUACAAAAGACGAAUAAAACUGAUACAAAACCAUCUGACAAGCCACCAAAAACUGAAGAUAUUCCCAAAAAAAUUGUACCAAAGACAAUUCCGGACACUGCAAAAAAGCAGAAUGUUAGCACAAGGCUUGAUACAAAUUCACACAAAGAUACAGAAGCCAAAUAUAGUGAAGAAAAUGAAGUAGCAAGAAGUAACUUAGCCAAUAGCAAGUUUGUUCAAAUUCUGCAAUCAAGAAUGCUUUUGAUGUUGGGAGAAAAAUGCACUGUUACAGAAGUAAUACGAUUCGAUGGAAGGUUCUCCAAAAUAUAUCGGUGCAUAGAUUCGCGAAAACAGGAUUUUGCAAUAAAAGUAUUGAAGAAGCAGUCCAACGGAUACAACUUAGGUUUUCAAAAGAAGAAUAUGAUGAUGGAACUUCAAAAUGGCGUCCCAGCGAACAAUCUCAACUGUGUUCGACUAAUCACCGGAUUUGUGGCCUCUGGGCUAUGGUGCUACUUC